rnacentral:lncRNA from 1 species
CAAGUCUGUCCUCACAGGGAUGUCUUUUAUUAUGGGUUGUUGGAAGGAGUUUUGCAGAGAAACUGGAGCAGCAGAUAGAGCUCUCCAGGCACUACUGAAAUAAUAAUGAAGUAGUUUCACCAAGGUUGGACGAGAGAGCGUUUUCGGCUGCGUCUGAAUUCUGCUUGUCCCUGAAAAUUGCUUAGGUAAUAAGAUAGCUGCUUUAAAAUUGCUGGGGGUAUCCCACAGGAUUCUGCUUUGACUCUGAUUUCCAUUUGCAGCACAUGUUCUGCCAUUUGGCCAGCACCAUCCACCCGUGUGAGCUAAUUUAGGGUUGCUAAACAGAUGACAGAGAACAUACAUCUUUUAUAUUUGAUCUCUGCACUGGUUGGAGCUGGUGCUGUGUGCCUCUGUGAGGAACAACAGGGUCAUCAACCCAAGGAGCUCACCUGUCAGAGGGGACAGCAUCUUCCAGCUCUAGGGUCAUCCCUGCACACCAGCAGGCUCAGGAGCUGCCUGCAGCUGGUGUGGGCCUGGUUGGGCUCAGCUCCCGUCUGGGUUGGUGGCUGCUCUGCACCUGUGCUGAGCUCAGCGUCUAGCCAGCCCUGUGCUUCACUUUCUGCCUUCCUUUGUAUACAUCAGAGUGUUGACUUGGUGACUGUCUUCAUGUUGGGGGACUUUUCUGGGCCUCUAUCCACUUCUUCAGUACUCAAACUUUGGCUAUUGCUAUAUUCUGCUCUCAGGGCAAGUCCCCAUUCCCAACACUGUGUGCCCUCUCUGUGCCCUAGUCUGCCAGCAAUGCUGCUGCAUUUUCUGCCCUUAGUCCCUUCAGUCUGCCUAGCCUCUCCCAGAGGUACAGCAGAAACAGCCUGGGGACCACAGUCUGCAAGGAGCACACUCAGAGCAUCCCAGCUUUACCUGCUGUAA